GAAAAUAAGUGAAUUUGCCAGCCCAGCAUAAUGAAGAAUGCAUGAGCUCUGAAAACAGAAGAACUUGUACUGGAAUUCCAGCUCUGUCACUUACUAAGCUGUUUUUCCUGAAAAUUCCAUGCAUAAUCAAGAUACUUGGGAGGGAAGAAGAAGGGGAUAUUUGAAUGACUUCUCAAUUCUGAGAUUUUAAGACAUGUAUAUGGAAGCACGGUGCACAAGAAUGAUAGAGUCUUAGGCUGAAAGGAAGAAAGAAGAGAAACAUAGAGCAUAAUGUUCAAUGAAGUUACAGAAAUAAUCUGGAGUUUAUGAUGGAUAUAAAAAUUUCUGCUUUUCUUUCAUCGGAAAUGCCUGUCAUGUGUUUUGUUUUCAAUUUACCACCAAGGGCUCUGAUAACUGUUCCAUAUAGAAGAGAUGCGGUUCUUCCUGGCCAAUGAAACCAACCUCCAACCUUUGGGCUUCUGCAGAUCUGCCUCACCCUGCCCUCUGACUCUGUUUUAGAUUCCAUUGCCCACUAGGUUGCCUUGGAUGAAAGUACCUCGAAAAUGAGCCAUGUGCCACUUUUCCCUCCCAUGACUAAUAGAAGACUAGGGCAUUCCUGCCGUUGCGGUUGAUGGAUGUACCACUUGUUCCAAGUACAGUUCCUUCUCCCACUGACUCCAAAUAAGCAACUCUUCCACCACACUUCAUCAGCAUCCUGGGAUUUAGACACUCUCCUUGCAUUUCUAAGACUCUUUGAGACUCAUACAAGGCACACUGAGUCGUCCUUUGAAGUUCCUGUCACUUGGCUUCUGGUGAAUGCAAUCUUCCAUUCUCCUUGCCUUAGGAUGGUGGUGAGAAAAAAUGCUGAGCACACCAAAAACUCUUUCUCAAGCCAUGUUUUCUAAAGACUGGAGUUGGGUGAGCACUAUGACUGGCACAACAGGUUGUGCCUCUGUGAAUGAUUUAGCACCCUGCUUUAGGAUACAGAAGUACUUAAUUCCUUUAAUUAUAUUUUUAUAAGGUUUUGGAGCCUCAAAAGAAGAUGAGUUCAGAAAGCCUCAUUUAACAUCUUAUAUCAAAGAAAAGAAUCCAGUCAGCUUAAGUACUGCUGGAUCCAGAUGCUUAAGCAAUGACAUCAGAAAUUGUGCUUAUGCUUCCUCAGUUCUGUGCCAGCUUCACACUCCAGCAGGUUUUACUCCAAGGCAGCAAAAUGGCUUCUAGCCAUUUUACCAGUGGAACUGGAUUUUCUCUCCUCCUAGUUCCAGAAAAAGUCCCAGUAUUGUGCAUCACUGCCUUAGCUUCAGUGAUGUGCUCACAAGUACCCAAUCAGUACCCAAGGCAAUGGAAUAUUUACUAGUCCAGUUUAGGUCUUUACCCACCCUUGGCUUUGGGGGUUGGGUUGACUCAGCCCUCUGCAAACCCCUGGACUAGUGGAGCAGUGGUUCAGUUCUCCAAGGAGCCCCAGAGUAUUGCCACUUAAGGAAGGUGAAUACAUGAUCACUGAUGAAUGAUUUCACCCUAACUUGGACCUAAAGAUUACCAUGAUUACCUUAUCAUUUGAGGUUCUACAGCUCCAGUCCUCUUUGGGAUGGAAGGUAGCCCCUAUGGAUACCUUUGCUUAAAGGUACUUCUUAAUAUAACUCCUGAACUCUGUGUUCAAACCAAAGAGAUCCUUCAAAUGUCCUCCUAUGAUGGGGCUUUAAAGUUCUUUAUUUCCUUGUGAUUUCCAUCCAAACUGAACUGGUAUAUUAAUAUACAUUUUAGGAUUAGUACCUAGAACAUUCCAGUCACUACAUAGCCUAGGCACUAGUCAGCCUAUGUAUUAGACACACACACAUGCACACACACACUUUCAUAUGCAUCAUAUAUACAUACACAUAUUACAUAUAUAUAUCCAUACAUAUAUGAUUAUAAAAGGAGAUUUAUUAGAUUGGCUUACACAACCAGAAGCUGCAUAGACCUACAAUGACCACCUGAAGGCUAGAGAGUUGAAGGAACCAGUAGCUGCUUAGUCCAAGAAGCUGGAGCUUUGGAAGAAGGAUCAAUGAUGCAGGACCAAAGGCCUGGAAACUCCCUGGUGAGUCACUAGUCAGUCUGCUUUGGAAGAGUGAAGGAGCAGAAAUCUAAUGUCUUUUGAUCACAGCAGCAAUCAAAGCAACCUCUCAAGAAGAAUUGAGCUUGCAUCCUAAUCAGUUUCCUUGUUCUUCCACCUUUUUUUUUCCCAUUCAGGUUCCCAACCUUUUGGAGUGUGCUGCCCACAUUUAGGGUGGAUUUGUUUGCUUAGUUUGCUAUCCCACAUGUCAAUCAUUCCUAGAAACACCCUCACUGACAUACCCAGAAGCCUCUUAGUCUCAGUCAAUUCUUAAUACAAUCAAUUGGACAAUUCAGAUUAACUAUCCACAGUCAGUUUCUUUUGAAAACAACAAUAACAAAUCCUUAUUCCUUCUUGAACUACAAUUCUAAUGAAAAAGCUUGAUAACUUUUUGAGAAGUUAUCUGUAUCAAAUAUUCACUGCAGUGAUUUUGUUUGUUUUGAUACAAGGGAUUGAACCCAGUGGUGCUUCGCCAUGAGCUACAUUUCCAGCUCUUUUCAACAAUUUUUGGAGACAAGGUCUGGCUAAGUUACUGAGGGUCUCACUGAAUUGCUGAGGCUGUCCUCAAAUUUGCAAUCCUCUUGCCUCAGCCUCCUAAGUCACUGAGAUUUACAAGGGGUGUGCCAGUCACUUCAGUGUUUUUCAUAAUGGAAACUACCUAAUAAUGCAUCGGUUAAACACUAGGUAAAUAAUCAAUGGUGCAUUCAUACAGGAGAAUAUUAAUACAGUCAUGAAGAUGAAUAAAAUAUAUUUAUAAUGUAUCAUCCUAGAAAAGUGCAAGAAAUAUUGUUAAGAUAGAACAGGUAGAGACAACAUGUAUGGCACAACUAAUUUUUAGAAUAUAAAUGCUUUGUGUCUGGAUUAACAUAUGUAGAUGCACAAGGCAAUAUUAUACAUUAUCAAGCCAGGCACAGUGGUACAUACCUGUAAUCCCAGAGGCUUGGGAGGCUGAGUUCAAAGACAGCCUUAGCAAAAGUGAGGCACUAAGCAACUCAGUGAGACUCUGUCUCUAAAUAAAAUACAAAAUAGGGCUGGGGAUGUGGCUCAGUGGUUGAGUGCCCCUGAGUUUUAUCCCUGGUACCCAAAAAGGAAGUUUGCAUUAUCAAACUUCCAGCAAUAGAACUGGGAUGGUAGAGAGAUGUUUCACUUUUAUAUUUUUAUAAUUUCAAAAAUAAUAUUGUUGGAAAACAUUUUUUGUUUCUAAUUUAAAAGAAAAAGAUGUCCUUUUCCUGAAAUCAUUGAACUGACUAGAAGACAGUGAUAAUUGAGGUGGCCAAGAAGUUCAGAGUUAUUUUUUGAAAUACAUCUACAACUGGUUUCCAAAAGUGAUAUAUUUCUUUAAGGAAAAAUCAGAUCAGUAAAUAUAAUUAAAAAUCCCUUCUAAUCUCAUCUCUCAGAGAUAAUCAGGGUUAAUAUUUAUUUUUUAUUUUUCCAGGUAAAUUUCACAUUUGCUUGCAAUAAUCAUUUUAUCUCAGUUCCUGAAACACUUACUUUCCUCUACCUCUAUGUAGCUUCUGAUCUUUAUUUUCAAUUUUAAGUGACAACUGUUUUAUUAUUUGUGUGUAUGUGUUUAGUUGCACUCUUCUUCAGUGCAACAGCAAAGAAAUAAAUACAUAAACAGAGGUGGGACAUCUCACAAUUUAUGAACAGCAUCAAAUAAGAGGAGAGGGGGAAAUUGUCCUAAGAUGUGAUGAGUAGGAAAAGAUUUUGGUUCAGAGUAGGGCUAAAUAGAGUAGGGUAGAUGAAGGGAACUGAAGUGGGGAGGAGAGGGGACACUAGGUAGAUCAUAAUGUUGAGAAAUAAAAUUAUUUGAAUCGCCUGUCUGACUUCUUUGAUGUAUACCAGCUCAUUUUCUUUUUAAGCUAAGGUUGGAGCAAGCUGAUUUGCAUACUGGGCCACAGGGGAAGAUUUCUCUGCCUGUGGGUCUUUUCUGUCAUAAGAAGGCUUCCUGAAGUCCUAGGUGCCCAAAGCAAACCACAGCUCAUCCCACGCCACCUUGGCUUGCGGCAAUCAACAUAAAUGCACUGUGGAUUUAUUUUAGGCCUGGGGUUUUACCCAACAGGCACAUAUUGUAUACAGUAUGGAAAUCUCCCCACCCUCACAUCCUGCCUAGCUCAUAACAUCUCCCUUCACCAGGCUGCAUACUCACUGAAAAUGCUAUAUACAGCUGUCUCUCUGCCUUGCUGUUCAAAAUAAUACACGGGAAACAAAAGGUAUUGACGUGAAACUUCUUCCCACCAUAAAGGUACAGGUGGUCUUCAGUUACCGUAGUUUUACAUGUCUGUAUAUACUCAGUAUCUUAUAAGUACACCUUGUAUUUUCAUUCUUCAAAUCUCUUCAACCUUGGGCCAAUUUAAAAUGAUAAAAAAAAAAUUAACCUCAGAAUUGUAGUUUUAAACUUUUCCUAUUUUCUUCUAAACUUAUAGUUUAAGCUCUUUCCCUUAAGCCUAUGGUUCAUUAAAAGUGAUUUUUUUAAAUGUCAUACAGGGUCAAGUUUUUUGUCUUUGUUCUUAUUUGCUUUUGUCUUUCUUGUUUUGAAAAGUUAUUAUCCUAUUAUAUUAAAUAUCUUGGGAGCUGUGCAAAAAAUUGAUUGACAUGGGGAACUAUUUCUGGACUCUCUACCCAUGUAUCCCCCCUAUAUGUCUGUCUUUAUUGCUUCUUCCAGAGGUUCUUGAUUGAAAUAGUGUUAAGUCUUGAAAUCAGGUAAUGAAACCAUCUUUGUUCUUUUAAAAAAUGGGCUAUUCUAUGUCGGGAGAAUUUACAAAUAUAUUUUAUAAUAAAUUUGACAA